UCGACUCGGGAUCCCAAGUCGGGACGUGUCAAGCUCGUGCAGCAAAGAAGAGGACAUCACUCCUCUGCCUUAGUCCCUUACCCCCUUCAGAAGAAAUGGGAAGCCCAUGAUCUCUUCCUUCUCCUAAACCUUUUUGACAGCUAGCACCAAAUUUUUAUUCUCCUUUCUCCUUCUCUUCCUCAUUCUCCUCGUUCUCGUAGCUUUCCUUCUCCGUGUGAAAAGAAACAAAGAAAGGAGAUCGGCCCCGAAAAGAAAGCUGUAUCAUGGGCUGCGUACAAGCCAAGUGCUGGCUUCGCUGCCGCCGGUGCUGCUGCCGCUGCCAGCUCUCCUCCGCCGGCAGCGACGGCGCCGCCUCCCGUGACGGCGACCCCGGCCACGGCCGGCACAUCAUCUCCGGCAGCCCCGUGGGCUCCGCCGCCGUCCCCUCCCACCGCCUCCUCCUCCAGUUCUCCUCCCUCUCCCAGCGCGGACACUACCCCGACACCCCCGAUCGCGAGAACCAGGACACCUUCUGCAUCAAGACCCAGCUCCAAGGCAACCCGAACCUCCACCUCUUCGCCGUCUUCGACGGCCAUGGCUAUUUCGGUGCCCAGUGCGCCGCUUUCGCCCGCGACCACCUCGUCGAAGACCUCGCCGGCGACCCCCAUCUCCUCGAAGACCCCGUCAAAUCCUUCAAUUCCGCCUUCCUCUCCACCAAUUCCGAACUCCACAACAGCGAGAUCGACGACACGAUGAGCGGCACGACGGCGAUCGCCGUCCUCGUCGGUGGCGACACGCUCUUCGUCGCGAACGUCGGCGACUCGAGAGCGGUCGCCGGCGUCUGGGACGGGGAGCGGGUGGUGGCGGAGGACUUGUCCAGUGAUCAGACGCCGUUCCGGGAGGAUGAGUAUGAGAGGGUCCGGCGGUGCGGGGCGAGGGUGCUGAGCGUCGACCAGGUGGAGGGCAUAAAGGAUCCGGCAAUUCAGAGCUGGGGGAUGGAGAGUGAAGGGGACCCGCCGAGGCUGUGGGUUCAGAAUGGCAUGUACCCUGGGACGGCGUUCACGAGGAGUGUCGGGGACUCGACGGCGGAGAGCAUCGGUGUCGUCGCCGUGCCGGAGGUCAUGACGGUGAGGAUCACGCCGAGCCAUCUCUUCUUUGUCGUGGCGAGCGACGGGGUUUUCGAGUUCCUCUCGAGUCAGGCUGUGGUGGAUAUGGUGUCCAGAUACCCAGAUCCCCGAGAUGCCUGCUCAGCAAUUGCUGCAGAAUCCUACAAAUUAUGGUUAGAGCAUGAAAUUCGGACUGAUGAUAUAACGAUCAUUGUCGUGCACAUCAGAGACUUGUGUGGUUCAGAUGCUGUAGCAACUAAUGAAGCAAGUCAUGCUGGCACAAAAGCUUCCUUAAUGGUUUCACAGAAAGCAAGAACAGAUAUAUCUGCAUCCCCAGGGCCAGAAACUGGUCAUCCAAAAAGAAGGAAUUUCCUUGAGCUGCAGUCAUGUCCUUCUGACUUUUCCCUGGAACGAAGUCUUGCAUGUGUUGCUCCUUCUCCUACACACUCGUUAUCUAUAGAAAAGUGAUAUGUCCAGACUGACUGACUGACUGAAGCUGCCUGGUAUUUGUCCUACCUUCCAAUGAUAAGUUCAGCAAUGGUGGAGGGAAUAACUUAAUUCCUUGUGGGUUUUUAAUUCCAGGAAUCCAUUAUCAGGAGCUUUCUUUUAUCAUCUUGGCCACAUUUCCAGUAUGUCACCUUUUACACCACUUGUAUAUAACUCAAAGGCUGUUCAAAGCAGUGCUGAUUUGAGGAAAAAAUGGUGCCUCUUGACCUUUUCAAGGACUAUUGAGUGGCCAUUGCUGCAUGGAGGUGGAAGAUGGUUGUGCGGUAUUUGGCAUCCUACCUGUUAAUUUAUUGCAGAAAGCAUGGGGGAUGAAGCGUCAAAUGGUCGGCAUAUGAAAUGCCUGUGUUAGGAAGUUAAGGUUUAUAAUAAGGUGAUGAACAACACUCCCAGGAAAAGCAUAGACAAACCAUGCAACUGCUUCGUCUUUUGGAGAAAUGUUAUUUCCUUGGUUAAAUGAAGGAAUGAGAUUGGUCAUCUUGUACAUAACUAACUAGACUAGUUAUGUGAAACAUGCUUGAAAAAUGCUAAAUAGUGGCAAGUCUCUACCUACCAAAAAAGAGAGAAGAAAUAAUAGUAAUGUUGUUGCGUUACUUUGCA